AUGGAUAUCAUGCAGACUAGUGAUUCUUCACAUCAUGGAAUUGUAGAGAACAGCCCUUAUACAACUCCCUAUGAUAGACGUGUGGAAGGUGAUCAACUUGGUGCUUCGUGGUAUUUUAGUAGAAAAGAAAUAGAAGAGAAUUCCCUUUCAAGGAGAGAUGGUAUUGAUUUAAAGAAGGAGUCUUACCUUCGCAAGUCAUACUGCACUUUCCUUCAGGAUUUCGGGAUGAGGCUUAAAGUGCCCCAAGUAACAAUUGCUACAGCUAUAGUAUUUUGUCAUCGUUUUUUCCUUCGUCAAUCUCAUGCCAAAAAUGACAGACAGACAAUAGCCACAGUUUGCAUGUUCUUGGCGGGUAAAGUUGAAGAAACACCUAGACCCCUGAAGGAUGUCGUACUCAUCUCUUAUGAGAUCAUCCACAAAAAGGAUCCUGCUGCAGUCGCUCGAAUUAAGCAGAAGGAAGUGUAUGAACAACAGAAGGAAGUGUAUGAACAACAGAAGGAACUUCUUUUGAUCGGGGAGCGCCUUGUGCUUGUAACACUUGGUUUUGACAUGAAUGUGCACCACCCUUACAAGCCUUUGGUUGAAGCAAUAAAAAAAUUCAAGGUUGCUCAAAAUGCACUUGCUCAAGUUGCCUGGAAUUUUGUCAAUGAUGGGCUACGCACUUCGCUUUGCCUGCAAUUUAAGCCCCAUCAUAUUGCGGCCGGCGCAAUCUUCCUUGCUGCAAAGUUCCUCAAAGUCAAGCUUCCAGCAGACGGGGAAAAGGUCUGGUGGCAAGAGUUUGAUGUAACUCCACGGCAGUUGGAAGAGGUUAGCAACCAAAUGUUGGAGCUCUACGAGCAGAACCGUGUUGGACCACCACCUUCACAAGGGAAUGAUACCGAAGGCAGCUCUGCAAGUGUGGUUAAUCAGCGUGCUCCUGUGAAAACUGAGGAGCCUCCUGCCCAUGAAACUCAUCAAGCACCUAGACAGUCGAGCGUACCAGGCCGUCACGGGCAUGACCACCCUCAGCCUGAAAAGCAGAACUCAAACCAGAGGAUACCCAAGAGUGAAGCAAGGGAUGGCACUACCAACAGCAAUGAAGGCACAAAUAUGUCCUCAUCAAUGAUGGAUGCGAUGAAAAAGAUAGAUAAGGAUAAGGUGAAAGCUGCGCUGGAGAAACGGAGGAAGUCGAAAGGCGAUGCUGGUAGGAAAGUGGACGUCAUGGAUGAUGAUGACCUGAUUGAGAGGGAGCUGGAACAUGGCGUGGAGUUGGCUGCCGAGGACGAGAAAAAACACGACAGAAGGCAGAGCUGGCCCCACCCCGCGCACCGGGAGGAUCACCAGAACACGGCUUGCAAGGCGGAGAACACCGAAGAGGGCGAGCUGUCCCUGGAUGGCCAGGAAUACCGCUCUCCUGGCCCCGACAACCGGAAGAGGAAGGACGUGCACGAGCACAGGAGCAAUGACCGCAGCGCCGAGAGAGACAUCAAGAGGCUGAGGCCAUGA
rnacentral:rRNA from 1 species